rnacentral:lncRNA from 1 species
GAGCAACAAUCACGAGUCUUUAUUUCGACCUAUAAAAGAGGGUUAACUGGUUUACAUUUGUUCAGUGCUCCCAUCAAGUACGGUACAACUUCAUGCGUUCGGUGGCGAAAAAAUAAUUUUAAAAAUAAACCAAUAAUAUUUCUAGUCGCCCACGGUGCGUUCGACAUGUACAAAAUCGUAUUCAUCUUGGCGGUGUUCACCUAUGCGGCUCAAGUAGCAUUCGGCGUCCCCACGACCGACAACAAAAUGGUAAAUAUUAUUCACAAUUAUCACAACGAUUAUGUUUAAUCUCUGACACUCUCGAUUUGAGUAGCGAUAUUAUUUCAUGUUAAUGUUUACUGGGUGGUGUUUACAAUAAAAGGCCUUUCCUUUUUUUGUAGUUUUGUAUUUAUAUAAAUAUAUGAAUGGGAAAAAUCGGAAGAUUUAUUCUUGAAAUAUAUUCACGCUAUUAAUGUUCAAAAUAUUUUUUAAAUUUUCUCGGUUUAAUAUAAUAAAUGCAUAGCAAAUUGCCGAAAACGAAAACUUGUAAAUAAAAAGAAAAUUUGUAUUUCUUUUGCAUUGGCUAUACAAAAUAUAUUUUGUACUUUCCUUUUAACGUAAUUAUCUAGUCAUAUAAUUAAUAAUUCUCGAAUUUUAAAAAUUUAUCAUUAGGCUUUUUUAGUUUUUAAAUAACCAAAAGUUUAAAAUAAUGAUGAGCUUGUUUUCUGCUAAUAGGUGGCAAUUUGUCGAAGGCGAAAACUUAUGUGCCAAGACUUACCGGGCGCAAUAGCUUUAGGAAAUACACCAGUCACCAAUUUUGAACAAACGGCGGCACACGCGAUCCAGCUGCUAUUAGAUGGGGCACAGGCCUCAAAGAGUGAAAUAAGUGAAGCAAAUACGAUUCAAGGUGUCCCCAUCACCUACAGCCAAUAUGUAACUAUUGCAAUUUUUUCACGUAUUUAACCAAAAAUUUGUUUUUCUUUUGCAUUGAUUAUACAUAAUAUGUUUUUACUUUUCUUUUAACGCACUUAUCUAGUCAUAUAAUAAAUAAUUAUCGAAUUAUAUACAUUUAUCUUUAAGAUAUUUGAAGUUUUAAAAAAUCAAUAAUUUUGAAAAUAAUGAAGAGCUUGUAAUUGUUAUCUGCUUAUAGGUUGCAAAUUGUCGAAAACGAAAACUUAUGUGCGACUUACCGGCCGCAAUAGCUUUAGGAUUUAAACCUGACACGAAUGUUGAACAAACUGCAUCACAAAUGAUCCAGAUGCCAUUAGAAAAAGAACAAGCCGCCAAUGUUGAAUUAAAUGAAGCACAAGCAUUUCAAGGUGUCCCCAUGACCUACAGUGAAUAUGUAACUAUUGCAACAUUUUCACGUAUUUAACCAAAAAUUUGUUUUUCUUUUGCAUUGAUUAUACAUAAUAUGUUUUUAAUUUUCUUUUAACGCACUUAUCUAGUCAUAUAAUAAAUAAUUAUCGAAUUAUAUACAUUUAUCUUUAAGAUAUUUGAAGUUUUAAAAAAUCAAUAAUUUUGAAAAUAAUGAAGAGCUUGUAAUUGUUAUCUGCUUAUAGGUGGCUAAUUGUCGAAAACGAAAACUUAUGUGCGACUUACCGGCCGCAAUAGCUUUAGGAUUUAAACCUGACACGAAUGUUGAACAAACUGCAUCACAAAUGAUCCAGAUGCCAUUAGAAAAAGAACAAGCCGCCAAUGUUGAAUUAACUGAAGCACAAGCAUUUCAAGGUGUCCCCAUGACCUACAGUGAAUAUGUAACUAUUGCAACAGUUUCACGUAUUUAACCAUAAAUGUGUUUUUAUUUUGCAUUGGCUUUACGUAAUAUAUUUUGUACCUUACUUUUAACUUACUUAUCUAUUCAUAUAAUAAAUAAUUCUCGAAUUUUAAAAAUUUAUCGUUAGGCUUUUUUAGUUUUUAAAUAACCAAAAGUUUAAAAUAUUGAAGAGCUUGUUUUCUUCUUAUAGGUGGCAGUUUGUCGAAAGCGAAAACUUAUGUGCCAAGACUUACCGGGCGCAAUAGCUUUAGGAAAUAUACCCGUCACCGAUUUUGAAAAAACGGCGNUAUACCCGCCACCAAUUUUGAACAAACUGCGGCACACGCGAUCCAGCUGCUAUUAGAAGGGGCACAGGCCUCAAACAGUGAAAUAACCGGAGCACAAGCAAUGCAAGGUGUUCCCGCGACCGAAGCCAAAAUGGUAAAAAUUAGGUUUACAAUUGGAAGAAUUUUCAUACUAUAUAAAUUAAUAUUAUAUUGAAAAUAUCUUUUAAUUUUUCUCGGUUUAAAAAUUGAAAUGCAUAGCAUGCUUAAAACAAAAACUCGUACAAGAACACUCUCCAAUAGCAGCAGCUUUAAAAGAUAAACUGGCCGUUAACGAUGAACUAGCAACAAAAACCAGCGACGCCUAGACUUCGACAAUUUUAGUCGAACUUCUAAAAAUUUACCGGAUGGAUAUACAUGAUUUAAUUAUUUUAUAGCUUUAGUUUAACUAUAUAUUUGUCAAAAAUAAA